AUCCGUUGAAUCCCAUUUAAUCAAUGUUAAAAAUGAACUGUUUUUACCGUCUGUUGUAAAAUUUUCUAAAUGUGGGAUACGACGUAUUAGAAUGGCAGUAUCGUAAUGUGGUAAUUAAAAAAUACAAUAAAUGUA